UACAGAGGGGGCAAGCGUUAUUCGGAAUUAUUGGGCGUAAAGGGCGCGUAGGCGGCCUGUUAAGUCGAACGUGAAAUCCCCGGGCUCAACCCGGGAACUGCGUCCGAUACUGGCAGGCUUGAAUCCGGGAGAGGGAUGCGGAAUUCCAGGUGUAGCGGUGAAAUGCGUAGAUAUCUGGAGGAACACCGGUGGCGAAGGCGGCAUCCUGGACCGGCAUUGACGCUGAGGCGCGAAAGCUAGGGGGAGCAAACAGG
rnacentral:rRNA from 1 species